AGUGAACGCUGGCGGUAGGCCUAACACAUGCAAGUCGAACGGCAGCACAGUAAGAGCUUGCUCUUACGGGUGGCGAGUGGCGGACGGGUGAGGAAUACAUCGGAAUCUACUUUUUCGUGGGGGAUAACGUAGGGAAACUUACGCUAAUACCGCAUACGACCUACGGGUGAAAGCAGGGGAUCUUCUGACCUUGCGCGAUUGAAUGAGCCGAUGUCGGAUUAGCUAGUUGGCGGGGUAAAGGCCCACCAAGGCGACGAUCCGUAGCGGGUCUGAGAGGAGGACCAGCCACAUGGGACCUGAGAAAGGAUACAGACGCUUAGGGGAGGCACAAGUGGGAAAUAUGGGACAAGGGGGGCAAUCCUGAUCCAGCCGUGCCGCGUGGGUGAAGAAGGCCUUCGGGUGGUAAAGCCCUUUUGUUGGGAAAGAAAAGCAGCAGGUUAAAACCCCGCUGUUCUGACGGUACCCAAAGAAUAAGCACCGGCUAACUUCGU
rnacentral:rRNA from 1 species